rnacentral:rRNA from 1 species
UACGGAGGGUGCAAGCGUUAUCCGGAUUCACUGGGUUUAAAGGGUGCGUAGGUGGUCAAGUAAGUCAGUGGUGAAAUCUCCGGGCUUAACCCGGAAACUGCCAUUGAUACUAUUUGUCUUGAAUACUGUGGAGGUCAGCGGAAUAUGUCAUGUAGCGGUGAAAUGCUUAGAUAUGACAUAGAACACCAAUUGCGAAGGCAGCUGGCUACACAAAUAUUGACUCUGAGGCACGAAAGCGUGGGGAUCAAACAGG